UCGUAAAUUUUCACAUGUAAA
rnacentral:piRNA from 1 species